UUGAACGCUGGCGGCAGGCCUAACACAUGCAAGUCGAACGGUAACAGGAAACAGCUUGCUGUUUCGCUGACGAGUGGCGGACGGGUGAGUAAUGUCUGGGAAACUGCCUGAUGGAGGGGGAUAACUACUGGAAACGGUAGCUAAUACCGCAUAACGUCGCAAGACCAAAGAGGGGGACCUUCGGGCCUCUUGCCAUCGGAUGUGCCCAGAUGGGAUUAGCUAGUAGGUGGGGUAACGGCUCACCUAGGCGACGAUCCCUAGCUGGUCUGAGAGGAUGACCAGCCACACUGGAACUGAGACACGGUCCAGACUCCUACGGGAGGCAGCAGUGGGGAAUAUUGCACAAUGGGCGCAAGCCUGAUGCAGCCAUGCCGCGUGUAUGAAGAAGGCCUUCGGGUUGUAAAGUACUUUCAGCGGGGAGGAAGGGAGUAAAGUUAAUACCUUUGCUCAUUGACGUUACCCGCAGAAGAAGCACCGGCUAACUCCGUGCCAGCAGCCGCGGUAAUACGGAGGGUGCAAGCGUUAAUCGGAAUUACUGGGCGUAAAGCGCACGCAGGCGGUUUGUUAAGUCAGAUGUGAAAUCCCCGGGCUCAACCUGGGAACUGCAUCUGAUACUGGCAAGCUUGAGUCUCGUAGAGGGGGGUAGAAUUCCAGGUGUAGCGGUGAAAUGCGUAGAGAUCUGGAGGAAUACCGGUGGCGAAGGCGGCCCCCUGGACGAAGACUGACGCUCAGGUGCGAAAGCGUGGGGAGCAAACAGGAUUAGAUACCCUGGUAGUCCACGCCGUAAACGAUGUCGACUUGGAGGUUGUGCCCUUGAGGCGUGGCUUCCGGAGCUAACGCGUUAAGUCGACCGCCUGGGGAGUACGGCCGCAAGGUUAAAACUCAAAUGAAUUGACGGGGGCCCGCACAAGCGGUGGAGCAUGUGGUUUAAUUCGAUGCAACGCGAAGAACCUUACCUGGUCUUGACAUCCACGGAAGUUUUCAGAGAUGAGAAUGUGCCUUCGGGAACCGUGAGACAGGUGCUGCAUGGCUGUCGUCAGCUCGUGUUGUGAAAUGUUGGGUUAAGUCCCGCAACGAGCGCAACCCUUGUCAUUAGUUGCCAUCAUUAAGUUGGGCACUCUAGUGAGACUGCCGGGGAUAACUCGGAGGAAGGUGGGGAUGACGUCAAAUCAUCAUGCCCCUUAUGACCAGGGCUACACACGUGCUACAAUGGCGCAUACAAAGAGAAGCGACCUCGCGAGAGCAAGCGGACCUCAUAAAGUGCGUCGUAGUCCGGAUUGGAGUCUGCAACUCGACUCCAUGAAGUCGGAAUCGCUAGUAAUCGUGGAUCAGAAUGCCACGGUGAAUACGUUCCCGGGCCUUGUACACACCGCCCGUCACACCAUGGGAGUGGGUUGCAAAAGAAGUAGGUAGCUUAACCUUCGGGAGGGCGCUUACCACUUUGUGAUUCAUGACUGGGGUG
rnacentral:rRNA from 1 species